UCACUCAGUCCUUGCCAGAGCGGCGGAGUGUGUGGGCGCGCGGGUGCAUUCGCUCCAGUGCUAUCCGUGGAGAGAGAGAGAGAGAGAGAGAGAGAGAGAGAGAGAGAGAGAGAGAGAGAGAGAGAGAGAGAGAGAGAGAGAGAGAGAGAGAGGGAGGGAGAGAAAGAGAGAGAGAGACAGGCCCGAGCCGAAGGCUUCCUCAACAAUAAGUAACUUUUCUUCGGGUGAUCUUUUAUGCUAAUGGUCUCGCUGAACAGUCUUCUCUUAUUAGGUCCUUAGCCGAACGAACUUUUGAAUCUUGUAUUCUUGACUUUAUCAUGCGAACUUGAUAACUUGGAUCUGUCUUAAAACCCCUAAUAAAAGGAAAUAAAUGAGAGUUUAAACUAAAACUUGCGAUGUAAACAAAAUAUCGACCUAAACAUAAAACACAAACCUUUUAAGACCACGGUGAUAGAAGAUAAGAGACAGAUACAAACACACCAAAACAGAAAAAGGUUACAAAGAAAAAUAAUAAUAACAAGACGAAAAAAACAACAGGAUGGGAACAAGUGUGAAAGACAAGUGACGUCAUGACACAGGUGGACCAUCUUCAGGGAUUGGCGAAUCUCCAUCAAUGACUGGAUAAGUGAUGAGUACCGCCGGGGGGAGCGGCAGGGGGGGCACCGUCCCCCCCAAGCGCCCCCCCUCCACCUCGCAAUCUCCCCCCCACGCUCCCCAUGGAGGUCCGCGGGGGAAGGGGGUUGGCCAGUCCCAACCCCUGCCCAGAGGGGUUGGGAGGGGGGUGGCCCUCGGCCAGGCUUCCGCGCAGAGUAAAAGGU
rnacentral:lncRNA from 1 species